rnacentral:rRNA from 1 species
AGUGAACGCUGGCGGCGUGCUUAACACAUGCAAGUCGCACGAGAACGCUUCUGCUUGCAGAGGCUAGUAAAGUGGCGCACGGGUGAGUAACACGUGGGUAAUCUACCUCCGAAUUGGGGAUAACAUUGCGAAAGCGAUGCUAAUACCGGAUAAUAUUGUUGAUUCUUAGGGAUCUGCAAUCAAAGGUGGCCUCUUCAUGAAAGCUACUGUUUGGAGAUGAGCCCGCGUACCAUUAGCUUGUUGGUAGGGUAACGGCCUACCAAGGCGACGAUGGUUAGCUGGUCUGAGAGGAUGAUCAGCCACACUGGAACUGACACACGGUCCAGACUCCUACGGGAGCUG